rnacentral:rRNA from 1 species
ACCGCGCGGUGGGGGGGCUAUAAUGCAGUCGAGCGAGCGGAACCAACAGAUUUACUUCGGUAAUGACGUUGGGAAAGCGAGCGGCGGAUGGGUGAGUAACACGUGGGGAACCUGCCCCUAAGUCUGGGAUACCAUUUGGAAACAGGUGCUAAUACCGGAUAAGAAAGCAGAUCGCAUGAUCAGCUUUUAAAAGGCGGCGUAAGCUGUCGCUAAGGGAUGGCCCCGCGGUGCAUUAGCUAGUUGGUAAGGUAACGGCUUACCAAGGCAACGAUGCAUAGCCGAGUUGAGAGACUGAUCGGCCACAUUGGGACUGAGACACGGCCCAAACUCCUACGGGAGGCAGCAGUAGGGAAUCUUCCACAAUGGACGCAAGUCUGAUGGAGCAACGCCGCGUGAGUGAAGAAGGUUUUCGGAUCGUAAAGCUCUGUUGUUGGUGAAGAAGGAUAGAGGUAGUAACUGGCCUUUAUUUGACGGUAAUCAACCAGAAAGUCACGGCUAACUACGUGCCAGCAGCCGCGGUAAUACGUAGGUGGCAAGCGUUGUCCGGAUUUAUUGGGCGUAAAGCGAGCGCAGGCGGAAAAAUAAGUCUGAUGUGAAAGCCCUCGGCUUAACCGAGGAACUGCAUCGGAAACUGUUUUUCUUGAGUGCAGAAGAGGAGAGUGGAACUCCAUGUGUAGCGGUGGAAUGCGUAGAUAUAUGGAAGAACACCAGUGGCGAAGGCGGCUCUCUGGUCUGCAACUGACGCUGAGGCUCGAAAGCAUGGGUAGCGAACAGGAUUAGAUACCCUGGUAGUCCAUGCCGUAAACGAUGAGUGCUAAGUGUUGGGAGGUUUCCGCCUCUCAGUGCUGCAGCUAACGCAUUAAGCACUCCGCCUGGGGAGUACGACCGCAAGGUUGAAACUCAAAGGAAUUGACGGGGGCCCGCACAAGCCGGUGGAGCAUGUGGUUUAAUUCGAUGCAACGCGGAAGAACCUUACCAAG